rnacentral:rRNA from 1 species
GAUCAUGACUCAGGAUGAACGCUGGCGGCGUGCCUAAUACAUGCAAGUCGAACGCUUCACUUCGGUGAAGAGUGGCGAACGGGUGAGUAAUACAUAAGUAACCUGGCAUCUACAGGGGGAUAACUGAUGGAAACGUCAGCUAAGACCGCAUAGGUGUAGAGAUCGCAUGAACUCUAUAUGUAAAGUGCUACGGGACUGGUAGAUGAUGGACUUAUGGCGCAUUAG